rnacentral:rRNA from 1 species
GUGAGGAAUUUUCCGCAAUGUGCGAAAGCCUGACGGAGCAAUGCCGCGUGAAGGAUGAAGGCCUAUGGGUUGUAAACUUCUUUUCUCAGAAAAGAAUUAUGACGGUAUCUGAGGAAUAAGCAUCGGCUAACUCUGUGCCAGCAGCCGCGGUAAGACAGAGGAUGCAAGCGUUAUCCGGAAUGAUUGGGCGUAAAGCGUCUGUAGGUUGUUUAAAAAGUAUUCUGUCAAAGAUUAGGGCUUAACCCUAGAUAGGCAGAAUAAACUUUUAAGCUAGAGUUUGGUAGAGGCAGAGGGAAUUCCCGGUGGAGCGGUGAAAUGCGUAGAUAUCGGGAGGAACACCAAAGGCGAAGGCACUCUGCUGGGCCAAUACUAACACUGAGAGACGAAAGCGAGGGGAGCAAAUGGGAUUAGAAACCCGGGUAGUCC